GGGCCUUUUGAUGUUUAUCUGGAACUUCUGGUUUAUAGUAGGGAUACAUAUUUGCUUUUGGUUGAGUGAAAUUUUUAUGCCUGGCGUUUUGUUUCAAGGGAAAGUGAGAUCUCACCAGAUUUGACCCAUAGAGGAUGAGAAUUAGAAUAUUGUACAGAAGGUAUAAGUGAAACCAAAGGAUAUGGAUUCAAGAUGAAAACAGAGAGGAAGAGCAUCAUGGGCUUGUGGUAUCCAUUUAGUUCAAAAUUUCUCCCAAUACCACUUUGCUGGUUAUUGAAGAGCUUUGACUAAAUGAAGCUAUCAAGUGAAAACCAAUAUGGCCAGGGAUGAAGGUGUAUCCAGGUGGGAAAUCUUAGCUACAGUAGCUGUCUCAGAAAACUUUUUGACCCAAACAAUCAUCAGAAGAAACAAAUGCCUUGAAAGUAGUCCUUGUGGUUUGUACAUGGUAAGCACAUCCGAAUCUCCAGGCUAACAAGAACAGUUCCUUAUAGGCUGACAUUCAUUUUCCAGGCCUAA
rnacentral:lncRNA from 1 species